GUGAUCUGCCCGCCUCGGCCUCCCAAACUCAUUUUCUUCUUUUUCUGUAGCAAUGAGCAUGCAUAAUCAGAAAGAAAAAUAAUGUUUAAAAGUGGGUUUAAAGUCUCUGUACAAGUUGUGGCUAAAAGGGGCACCAAAAGUAGCCACUUGUGGGCAGGAUGCUCCCUCCUCCCUCCGGGAGAAACACAGGUGCUGCUUUGUGCCUUUAGCUCCUGGAUCCUGGGGCUGAGCUGGGAGGGACUAAAGGAGAGGGGGAUGGGAGGGUGUGUACUGGGGCCUGUAUUCUACGCUGGGCAGAGUCCCAGCCACUCCUCAUGCAGCUUGUGAGGAAGCCUUUGGUGGUCAUCUUUAACAGCUCAGUUCCCCAGAGAAGCUCCCUGGAAACCAGGAGGCUGACUUCUUCACCAACUGCAGAACCACCUGAGGCCACGUGGCAGAGCCCUGAGUGCCUUGCCUGGCUGUAAGAGGAAUACUUUCAUCACCAAGCCUAGGAGAGUGCCUUUGUCCAUCGAGGGUCCCCAUUGGGGUUAACUGGAGCCCUUGCAGAUCAAGGCUGCCUCUGCCUUCUGUGUUCCUGUCUGUGGCUGUGCUGUUGUCCCAGUCACCACCGUAACCAGUGAUCCAGUUCUCACUCCCUCCUCCAGAGCAAGAUAAUAGCCUCAGAUGAAGAAAUUCUGGUUCUGAGCCCGAGAAUCUGAGACAGACUCAGAUCUAAAUCUUUUUAAAGCCUUCAAGGAGAUUAUGAUGCCUACGUGAGCUGGCUCAGAAGAAGAAUUUAUUUCAGGAAUGCCAAGAAUUUCUCAUGCUUGGUGGUAGGACAUUCCUUGAUAAUUUAGCCAGGUGAGAAGUUGUCAAAGAACUGCCAAACCCAUAAGGAUUCUUGUAGCUCACAGCCAGGAGGCUACCUUAUAUUUUGAAUUUAAGAUUAAGGGAAAAAAAAACACAAAAACAUAUACAAUACAUUCUUGUUGUGGUCGAGCAUAAAGUAAUUAACUAUACAGAGAAAAACAUGAAAGUCUUUUCUGUUACGAAUUCCCUCUGUCCAAGAUUCAGGUCCAGUCCCCUCGGCUUGCUAGGCUCUGCCUGUUCCACAUCUAUGCAUUCCCCAUCUAUCUAAUGUAUAUUCAGACACAAAUGUAUAUACAUGAGAUCAAAUCAUAGAUAUUUUGAAGAUUUGCUUUCAUUCAUGUUUACCUCAGUCAUAACAUUAAAUCUUGGCUGUGUGUAGUGGCUCACGCCUGUAAUCCCAGCUCUUAGGGAGGCAGAGGUGGGAGGAUAGCUUCAGCCCAGGAGUUCAAGACCUGCCUGGGCAGUAUAGCAAGACCCUGAUCUCCACAAAAAGGAAAAAAAAAGUAUAAAAAAUAAAAUAAAAUAAAAAUAAUAAAUAAAUAAAAAUAAAGAAGCAAAAGUUUAUACACUUAAAUUGUGCUUCAUAAUGCAUGUUUUAGUCUUUCAUUUUUCCUAGAAAUUAUUUAUGUACCCAGCAAAUAUCCAUCAAUUAAAUUUGUACAAGGUUUUGAGUUACCUAAAGAUCUUUGAAAUUAUUCUAAAGUGGGCAUACCAUGAAAGAUAACUUUUUUUUAAUUUUGAGAUGGAGUUUCACUCCGUUGCCCAGGCUUGGAGUGCAGUGGCACAAUCUCGGAUCACUGCAACCUCUGCCUCCCAGGUUCAAGCGAUUCUCCUGUCUCAGCCUCCUGAGUAGCUGGGACUACAGGCCCACACGAUCACAUCUGGCAAAUUUGUAAAUUUGUAAAUUUUUAGUAAAGACGGAAUUUCAUUAUAUUGGUCACAGUGAUCUCAAACUCUUGACCUCAGGUGACCCACCUACCUCGCCCUCCCACAGUGCUGGGAUUACAGGUGUGAGCGACCUCGCCCAGCCAAAAGAUAACUUUUGAAAUAAAAUUCAUCAGUGCAAUAAAUCAAUUUUGUUAAACACAGAUUGACGUUUACAUAUUUAAACAUGAUGUAAAAGCAAUGCUAGCUUAUUUUAUCAGUAAAUAUGUAUAAGUUUAAGAAAAAAAUAUACAAGCAGAAUAAAAAUGUAUGCUUGCAUUAUACAAUAAUAUGGGUGUACAUUUCCAGAGUUCUUGUAUUCAUACACUGUAUAAGAAGAUGACAAACAAUUUUGCAAUGAAAAAUCUUGUUCAUACAUUUUUGGCAUGCAUCAGAAUAUAUCUGUAUUCCUGAGUCAAAGGGUUUGUGCAUUUGUGAUUUUGAUUGAUAAUGCCAAAUUGCCUUACAGAAGAAGUGACUUUAAUAUAUCCUCUCAUCCUCAGUGUAUAGAAAUGCUUUUUUCCUCACACAGCUCUAACAAGCAUGUCAUAAAACUCUUUUUUUUUUUUUGAGAUGGAGUUUCACUCUUGUU